rnacentral:lncRNA from 13 species
GUCCAGACUGGGUCAAGAGUCCAGGAGUGGUCCAGGGUCUUUUGGUGCUGGGAAUCUCAUGGAGAGGCUGGGGUCCAGGGAAGUGGGGUCCAUUCUGGACUCCGGUGCUAUCAGGAGACAGAGUCUCUCUGUUUCCCAAACUCCAUGAACUGAGAAUCACAAGGUCUGUGCUUUUAAAACAGGAGGCUGUUUCUCUAAAGUGGGGACAGCUUGCAAGGCCUUGUUCCCCAGGCUGGGAAGCAUGGCCUCUGCCAGGACCAGAGCCAGGAGGAGGCGCUUGGAAGGGCAGGGGCUCCGUGCUGAGCGGGUUAUAGAGGGGUGGCGAAUAUUCAUAAAGGGCCCCGGCUGCACACAUACUAAAUGAACGGGUGCCACAUGCAGCCUGUGUUCGUGCUGGGGUGGAGCCUUCACAUGUGACUGUCGCAGUCAGGCCCUAAACGUCAGAGGUCUUCUCAGGACACGAAGGCGCUCGAGUGCGCAGCCUCUGCAAACCGGCGAGAGCUGGUCCAUGGUGGGGUCCCUAAUCAGGAGGAGGCUCCUGAAGUCAGUCUCCCGCCCAGUCAGAGCUGUGGUCAUGGAACGGGCUCAGCCGGCUCAGCAGUGCCUGCGGGUGGAUGAGCUGCAGUCAUCUGAGUCUUGCUCAUGGGAGGGGGGCCAGUGCGUGUGUAGCCGCUGGAGGAAAAGCAGACGCUGCGGCGGGGAUGGAGCAGGCCACCAUCCCGGAUGUCCGUGGCGGAGUCCUGCAGAGCGCCGUCCGAGUGUGGAGCAACAUUCCAGCCAUCAGGAGCAGCAGGCACUUGGCCCUGCCUUCGGAAGAAGAAUUGUCCCUGCUGGCUCAGAACCGACAGAGCUCCAAGCUCCCCGCCCAGCGGCCCACCAAGCUGCUGAAGAACUGCUUUCUCCCCCUAAAAGAAUAUUUCAAGUAUAUUUCAACAGAACUCACUUCCUCUUCAUAAAUGAGUCACUAUGCUGUGAAAAGUAAAAAAGACUUCCUAGAACAAGCCCAGCUCUCCUGACGCCGUCUUCCUCUCCUCUUCCGCUGGGUCCAUUUGCUCGUCCCUGGCUCCCUCCUGUCACUGCAGGCCCACCCGCUGGGUUCUGGACAUCCAGGGUCUCUCCCCCAUCACCCUGGUUCAGGGACAGGGCGAGGCCUGCGCCGCUGUGCACGGACCACAUGUUGUGGGGCGCAUUGCACUUCAGAGAGCAUUUCUGUGUUCAGUUGAGAAGCUAAAAUAAAGGUAUUGUUUGCGUCUAGUAUAGGCA